rnacentral:rRNA from 1 species
ACACAUGCAAGUCGAACGGUAACAGGUCUUCGGACGCUGACGAGUGGCGAACGGGUGAGUAAUACAUCGGAACGUGCCCAGUCGUGGGGGAUAACUACUCGAAAGAGUAGCUAAUACCGCAUACGAUCUGAGGAUGAAAGCGGGGGACCUUCGGGCCUCGCGCGAUUGGAGCGGCCGAUGGCAGAUUAGGUAGUUGGUGGGAUAAAAGCUUACCAAGCCGACGAUCUGUAGCUGGUCUGAGAGGACGACCAGCCACACUGGGACUGAGACACGGCCCAGACUCCUACGGGAGGCAGCAGUGGGGAAUUUUGGACAAUGGGCGAAAGCCUGAUCCAGCAAUGCCGCGUGCAGGAUGAAGGCCUUCGGGUUGUAAACUGCUUUUGUACGGAACGAAAAAGCUCCUUCUAAUACAGGGGGCCCAUGACGGUACCGUAAGAAUAAGCACCGGCUAAC